rnacentral:rRNA from 1 species
UACGUAGGGUGCAAGCGUUAAUCGGAAUUACUGGGCGUAAAGCGUGCGCAGGCGGUUGUGCAAGACAGAUGUGAAAUCCCCGGGCUCAACCUGGGAACUGCAUUUGUGACUGCACGGCUGGAGUGCGGCAGAGGGGGGGUAGAAUUCCACGUGUAGCAGUGAAAUGCGUAGAGAUGUGGAGGAACACCGAUGGCGAAGGCAGCCCCCUGGGUCAAGAUUGACGCUCAUGCACGAAAGCGUGGGGAGCAAACAGGG